GUAACACGUGGGAAUUUACCAAGAAGUGGGGGAUAGCUCGGCGAAAGCCGAAUUAAUACCGCAUGUGAUCGAAAGAUCAAAGCCGGGGACCGCAAGGCCUGGCGCUUUUUGAGAAGCCCGCGGCCCAUCAGCUAGUUGGCGAGGUAAAAGCUCACCAAGGCUAUGACGGGUAGCUGGUCUGAGAGGACGACCAGCCACACUGGAACUGAGACACGGUCCAGACACCUACGGGUGGCAGCAGUCGAGAAUUUUUCACAAUGGACGAAAGUCUGAUGGAGCGACGCCGCGUGGAGGAUGAAGGUUUUCGGAUUGUAAACUCCUGUCACUGCAGAACAAGGGUACGUUUGUGAACAGCAAGCGUAUUUGAUGGUAUGCGGAGAGGAAGGGACGGCUAACUCUGUGCCAGCAGCCGCGGUAAGACAGAGGUCCCGAGCGUUGUUCGGAUUCAUUGGGCGUAAAGGGUGUGUAGAGGUAGGGUAAGUCAGGUGUGAAAUCUCAGAGCUUAACUCUGAAACUGCGCUUGAUACUGGUCUGUAAGGAUCGGAGGG
rnacentral:rRNA from 1 species